UCAGUGCUGUGUUGUCUUAUUUUCCAGAGCUGCUGCGGAACAUCAGGACCAGGUCCUAUCGCGCUCAUCACCUUACACUAGAAUACACAUCCCAUUCAUCUCUAAGGAGCUGAACAUAGAUGUUUGUGACGUGGAGAGUUUGUUGGUGCAGUGCAUAUUGGACAACACCAUCCAAGGCCGUAUCGACCAGGUCAACCAGCUGUUGGAGCUAGACUACCAGAAGAGAGGGAGGGGCGCUACACUGCCUUAGACAAAUGGACUAAACAACUCAACUCCCUCAAUCAAGCCAUCGUCAGCAAACUCACAUGAUUCUGACUGACAUGUGACAAUGGACAGCACUGAAAGAUAGUAAGGAGAAUCUCAAUCAACUGUUCCAAUGUGUCAGAAUAUAAACCAAACCAUCCAGUGUGGAUGGGCUGAGCUACACAGCAGCACAGAGAUGUUUGUGAUCUGACACUGCGUUUCCCAGAGAAGGAGAGAUACUGCUUUCUAGAAAACUCAGCACUCUCUAAGGGACAUCUCAGUUUACUUCAGCCUCUGUGUUUGUUUUUCACAAGACUUUAGUAGAAUGAUUUAAGAAAUAUCACUGUCAACACUUUUUAAAAGUGCUGUAUUUUUUUCGGUGGGCAGUUUGAGUACAAUAACACAAUGGUUUAUUUGUGCCUGUUGACUGGCAGCUGGUGUUGGGAAACUUUUUUCACAACAUGUAGCUGCAGCAUUGAAUGCACGUUGGCUGUUGUGAAUAAAAAAAACGAAUGUUCUCCAA